AUGAUUGUUAGAUCCAACUCGAUCCGCCACGAACAAUGCAGUUUGGUAAGGAAAGGUUUGAUUUCACCGCAUCUUAGGAGAAAAGGGUCGUGUUAAUAUAGAUGACCUGGGUGAAGAUUGGUUGUGAAAUGGAGCAGUAUGAGGUUUUGGAGCAGAUAGGGAAAGGUGCAUUUGGGUCAGCUCUACUGGUGAAGCAUAAGGUCGAGAACAAGAGGUAUGUCUUGAAAAAGAUACGCUUGGCACGCCAAACCAACAGGUCCCGUCGGUCA